GGGGCUGACCUGGCUUCGACGUGGGUGCGGAGUUGGUUCAGGGCAUGCCGAGCACCAGUACGCUCGUAAAUCCACUGGAACAAAGUAACUGCGAACGACGAACGUUUCGCCCUCGCCGCUUAACACCGGUGAGCUUCUCAACGGUUGGCCGAUGGGCCGGGCCCGCAAGGGCUGAGAAGUCAUUCACAUCGGCUGGCAUCGCACCGGGUCACUCGGUGCGGCGCAAGACCAAGUGACUGGCGGGUGAGGUAGCGUGCCGCUGCGCGACCUGACCCGCGAGACUCAAAUCAGACGGCUACGCAUGUAGAACUGGCCAGCGAUGGCUUGCGGACGGGGGUUCGAUUCCCCCCAGCUCCACCA
rnacentral:tmRNA from 1 species